GACGAACGCUGGCGGCGUGCCUAAAACAUGCAAGUCGAACGAGGCAGCAAUGCCUAGUGGCGAACGGCGGAGUAACACGUAAGCAACGUGCCCCGGAGUCUGGGAUAUACGGUCGAAAGACCGGGCAAUACCGGAUGUGGCCACCGAGAGGCAUCUCUUGGUGAUUAAACGGUUUUUCGCUCCGGGAGCGGCUUACGGCCUAUCAGCUAGUUGGCGGGGUAACGGCCCACCAAGGCUACGACGGGUAGGGGGUCUGAGAGGAUGAUCCCCCCGAGUGGGACUGAGACACGGCCCACACACCUACGGGUGGCAGCAGUUGGGAAUCUUGCACAAUGGGGGCAACCCUGAUGCAGCGACGCCGCGUGGAGGACGAAGGAUCUAGGUCUGUAAACUCCUUUUGCCAGGAAAGACUUAGGACGGUACCUGGCGAAUAAGCUCCGGCUAACUACGUGC
rnacentral:rRNA from 1 species